rnacentral:lncRNA from 1 species
GGUAUUCUGGUAGCAGCCUUCAGAUGAAGAAGCAGAACUCUCAGCUCCUCCUGCACCAUGCCUGCCUGGAAGCUGCCAUGCUCACACCUUGAUGAUAAUGGACCGAACCUUUGAAUCUAACGUGGAGAAAGUUCUCGUGGAAUUCAAUCACAAGGAGCUGUUCGAUUUCUACAACAAGCUGGAGACCAUACAAGCGCAGCUGGACUCCCUCACAUGAUGUUCUGGAAGACUGGCUUCCUUCGCCAUCACAUUCCGGCCACCUCACUCUUUCGCACUGAAGAGAGACUGCCCAAGUAUAUUUUCUAGAGGAUUCGGUGACACUAUUGCUACAGAUAAUAUGACUUAUUGCAUCUUAGACAAAUAGCAGUGAUGGGAGAUCACAAUAGGAGCACUGGGUUUCGAGUGUGCCUUCUCGCCUCACAGGAGCCAAGAGCAAUUGUUGAGAAAAACGAAAGAAGUAAGAAGUGAAUGCCAUGCUGUUUUUUCUUUUUUUCUCUCUCUUUAACAAUUAUUUUAUUAGAUAUUUUCUUCAUUUACAUUUCAAUGCUAUUCCAAAAGUCUCCUAUACCCUAACCCCACCCUGCUCCCCAACCCUCCCACUCCUGCUUCUUGGCUCUGACGUUCCCCUGUACUGGGGCAUAGAAAGUUUGCAAGACCAAAGGGCCUCUGUUUUUUCUGUCAGAUUGCUUUCAGGGAUCAGGGAAGGUCUGUAGGCAGAAGGUAUGAUGGUGCCCUAGCAGAGUAUGAAACCUUACUCAUUACAGUAAUUAAUUAGGGAAGCAGCCGCAGGCCGUCAAAUGUUUUGGCAUUUGUCCUGCAGUGUUCUUUUGCUUGAAGUAUAGUGCAAGAAAGAAAUCUAAAAUGGUACCAGUACUGCUGUGAGUUCAUCCCACUGCGCUCCCCUUGACUCCCCCUGAAGGUUCCUGACGUUAAUGACUUCAAAAUCAUCUAGGUUUACAUAUAUCUCUGCAGAUUACUAACAGUGCACUUCUCAGUGUUUCAGAUUGCAAAUGAAAAUUGACCUGUAAUGAGUAUGACAUGGGAAUCUUACAUUUUCACUCGAAAACUUUAUGCAUCCUCCUUUUAUGGAUAUAUGUGUUCACUGGUUUCAGUCAAUAAAAAUUUUCUACCUGAGAAUUAUUU